rnacentral:rRNA from 1 species
GACGAACGCUGGCGGCGUGCCUAACACAUGCAAGUCGAACGGAAAGGCCCUGCUUUUGUGGGGUGCUCGAGUGGCGAACGGGUGAGUAACACGUGAGUAACCUGCCCUUGACUUUGGGAUAACUUCAGGAAACUGGGGCUAAUACCGGAUAGGAGCUCCUGCUGCAUGGUGGGGGUUGGAAAGUUUCGGCGGUUGGGGAUGGACUCGCGGCUUAUCAGCUUGUUGGUGGGGUAGUGGCUUACCAAGGCUUUGACGGGUAGCCGGCCUGAGAGGGUGGCCGGCCACCUUGGUACUGCGAUACGGCCCAGACUCCUACAGGAGGCAGCAGUGGGAAAUAUUACACAAUGAGCGGAAGCCUGAUGCAGCAACGCCGCGUGCGGGAUGACGUCCUUCGGGUUAUAAACCGCUUUCGCCUGUGACGAAGCGUGAGUGACGGUAAUGGGUAAAGAAGCACCGGCUAACUACGUG